rnacentral:rRNA from 1 species
AACGGCCAUACCAUGAUAAAAGCACCGGUUCUCGUCCGAUCACCGAAGUUGCAAUCGGGCGGGGUCAGUACUUGGGAGGGUGACCACCUGGGAAA